UGGUAUAUAGUUUAAAGGAAAAACAGCCGUCAGAAGGCGGGAGUUGUCGGUUCGAGUCCGCCUAUGCCAA
rnacentral:tRNA from 1 species